rnacentral:tRNA from 1 species
AGGAAAUUUUUUAAAAUAAUCAUCUUCGGUUUUGAAAGACUUAAGUUAAUUUAAAAAAAUAAGUUUUUCGUUUUUUUCAUUAGUUAAUUCUUUUAAUAUAAUAUUCUUUAAGAUUUUAAGGGCCUAUAGCUCAGUUGGUUAGAGCACACGCCUGAUAAGCGNGAGGUCGNUGGUUCAAGUCCAUUUAGGCCCA